ensembl:snRNA U6 U6 spliceosomal RNA
GUGCUUGCUUCAGCAGUACAUAUACUAAAAUUGGAACCAUACAGAGAGAUUAUCAUGGCCCCUGUGCAAGGAUGACAUGUAAAUUCGUGAAAUGUUCCAUAUUUUU